GAAUGGUCCAGAUAUCUGACAGCCGACUUUAAGGAUAGCUAAGAUUAAAGGUCUGGGGAGGAAAGCAGGACCCUGAAAGCUUUGACCUCGGCUAACGAUGCCCGAUUCAGACUCCUCCGGUGGCACGGCUCUCACAGAACUUCACUAUAUGUCGGUUUUCAUAUUCCUUAUUAUCGCCGCUCCAGCCCCUUCCCACACUUUUGAAGUACAGCAACUAAAAAAAGCCUGUGCCAGGUGGAGCGGCUAAUGAAAAAUGCCCUGCUGUUUCCUCCCCUAUGCCCGAGAGAGCUGCCCAUACACUAGUAGUGCUGAAGGGUGGUGGCAGACCAGAGACCUGGCCUUUACAGCCCUAUUCCCCAUCCCCCUUUUGGUGGAUUUGCAGUUAAAAGGUUGGAGAUACAUGGGAGAGAGAGUGCUCCCCAUGAGGCGAAAGCUACGAAAGUCACAGCUACCGAAUCGCAGACGACCUUGAAAGCUUUGGCACCGGCAGCUCCUGUAAAUUAUUCACACAGGAUGCAGAAAAGGGCUUCUUCUGCACUCCCGGAUGAAAGAGCGGAAGACAACGCAAGCAUCGCCAUCGCAGCUUCUCACGUGGAAGACCUGGAUUAAUGGUGAGGAAAGGAGACUUGCGCGCAACUGGAAAAAGAUACAGAGAGUGGUCUUGCCAUUGCCUGUGCACAUCAAAAAAGUUGAAGGAGAGAAAGAAUAAGGGAGGUCCCUUCAUAAUUAAUUUCUCCCCCCUACGGAAACAUCGCGAUGGGGCCAAUUAUUGCCAGAAUGUGACUCCAUUGCCUGCUGCGUCACUGUCCACAGAGCUGCAUCCUCUAGAUAUCCACAUGACGCUGAAUACAGUGAGACACACACACACUUAUCUUUACAGUGUAAAUCACACUGGAUGGUAUUGGUUUUGAAACUAAUUCUAUGCGAUCAUUUUUCUUUCAUUGGGUUGUAUUUCCGG